AAAAAUACAAGAAAAAUAAAAGAGUUUUAACUCCUAGUUCCUACUAUUAAACAACCAUUAAUAUAAUUAAAGCCUGCAUGAUUAAUCAGUACAGGAUAUAAAAGUCCUAAUUAGAUUGCAAUAAGCUAAUUCAAGUUAAUGAAUCUUAAUCUUGCCACUAAGCUGUGAUAGUGUAUAAGAAAUUUAAAAAAAUAAAUGCACCUCGUAUAAAAUGACACCGAAAGAGUAUGUAUCCACACUUCUAUCAAAUAUUUCAUCUUUAUAAACCUCAGGUGCCACAUAAAU
rnacentral:misc_RNA from 1 species